GAACAAUGGUUGUGUGAGUAGGUGAAGAGCCUGAGAAGUUUUAAUUGUCUGCUACACAAACAGUUGUUUUAAACCUCUACAGAAGAGGUUCGAGUAGUGAUUUUUAGAAGACAAGCCAAGAUAAGCCAGGUGUGCAGCAAACACAGUUGUCUGCUGGAGGACAGGCUGCACAUGUGAAUUUGUCACUGUUUUUUUCCUCCUCCUCUUUUUGUUGCGUUUUUGGUUUUAGUAGGGUCACCUUUUAAAACUGUUUGUUUUUUAUGCUGGGUUUGUUUUUAUUUCUACUGGGCUGGUGCAAUAUUAGUCGGGCAACGUGCAGUCCCUGAGCUGGGCUCUUACCUUAGGGGAAUUAGGUCUUUUAGAGGUGCUCCGUGUGGAUUUGCUGUGAACAAGUUUUAUUAAGAGUGAUUUUAGUGCCACCGAUUAUUGCCUGGACUAAAACACUUAGUGCAUGCGAUAAGUGCUCUGUUGGGCUCGUAUUUAUUUGGGGUGGAUUUCUUUCUUUUAAAGUAACAAGCAUCUGGGACCACCGGGGUAGAGCAAGCCCUCAGGUGAUAGCUGCAUUGCUGGCAGGUUGCACCAAUAAAACUAUACUGCAGUCGUUAGUGACUUUUUCUCUAUUUUGAUGUUUUAGGCCUUUUACAAAC
ensembl:lncRNA